GGGUUGUGAGGUUAAGCGACUAAGCGUACACGGUGGAUGCCCUGGCAGUCAGAGGCGAUGAAGGACGUGCUAAUCUGCGAAAAGCGUCGGUAAGGUGAUAUGAACCGUUAUAACCGGCGAUGUCCGAAUGGGGAAACCCAGUGUGAUUCGUCACACUAUCGUUAACUGAAUACAUAGGUUAACGAGGCGAACCGGGGGAACUGAAACAUCUAAGUACCCCGAGGAAAAGAAAUCAACCGAGAUUCCCCCAGUAGCGGCGAGCGAACGGGGAGCAGCCCAGAGUCUGAAUCAGCUUGUGUGUUAGUGGAACGGUCUGGAAAGUCCGACGGUACAGGGUGAUAGUCCCGUACACCAAAAUGCACAGGCUGUGAACUCGAAGAGUAGGGCGGGACACGUGGUAUCCUGUCUGAAUAUGGGGGGACCAUCCUCCAAGGCUAAAUACUCCUGACUGACCGAUAGUGAACCAGUACCGUGAGGGAAAGGCGAAAAGAACCCCGGCGAGGGGAGUGAAAAAGAACCUGAAACCGUGUACGUACAAGCAGUGGGAGCACCUUCGGGUGUGACUGCGUACCUUUUGUAUAAUGGGUCAGCGACUUAUAUUCUGUAGCAAGGUUAACCGUAUAGGGGAGCCGCAGGGAAACCGAGUCUUAACUGGGCGUUAAGUUGCAGGGUAUAGACCCGAAACCCGGUGAUCUAGCCAUGGGCAGGUUGAAGGUUGGGUAACACUAACUGGAGGACCGAACCGACUAAUGUUGAAAAAUUAGCGGAUGACUUGUGGCUGGGGGUGAAAGGCCAAUCAAACCGGGAGAUAGCUGGUUCUCCCGAAAGCUAUUUAGGUAGCGCCUCGUGAAUUCAUCUUCGGGGGUAGAGCACUGUUUCGGCUAGGGGGUCAUCCCGACUUACCAACCCGAUGCAAACUACGAAUACCGAAGAAUGUUAUCACGGGAGACACACGGCGGGUGCUAACGUCCGUCGUGAAGAGGGAAACAACCCAGACCGCCAGCUAAGGUCCCAAAGUCAUGGUUAAGUGGGAAACGAUGUGGGAAGGCACAGACAGCCAGGAUGUUGGCUUAGAAGCAGCCAUCAUUUAAAGAAAGCGUAAUAGCUCACUGGUCGAGUCGGCCUGCGCGGAAGAUGUAACGGGGCUAAACCAUGCACCGAAGCUGCGGCAGCGACACUAUGUGUUGUUGGGUAGGGGAGCGUUCUGUAAGCCUGCGAAGGUGACCUGUGAGGGUUGCUGGAGGUAUCAGAAGUGCGAAUGCUGACAUAAGUAACGAUAAAGCGGGUGAAAAGCCCGCUCGCCGGAAGACCAAGGGUUCCUGUCCAACGUUAAUCGGGGCAGGGUGAGUCGACCCUAAGGCGAGGCCGAAAGGCGUAGUCGAUGGGAAACAGGUUAAUAUUCCUGUACUUGGUGUUACUGCGAAGGGGGGACGGAGAAGGCUAUGUUAGCCGGGCGACGGUUGUCCCGGUUUAAGCAUGUAGGCUGAUUGUCCAGGCAAAUCCGGAUAAUCAAGGCUGAGGUGUGAUGACGAGGCACUACGGUGCUGAAGUAACAAAUGCCCUGCUUCCAGGAAAAGCCUCUAAGCAUCAGGUAACAUUAAAUCGUACCCCAAACCGACACAGGUGGUCAGGUAGAGAAUACCAAGGCGCUUGAGAGAACUCGGGUGAAGGAACUAGGCAAAAUGGUGCCGUAACUUCGGGAGAAGGCACGCUGGUGUGUAGGUGAAGUCCCUGCGGAUGGAGCUGAGACCAGUCGAAGAUACCAGCUGGCUGCAACUGUUUAUUAAAAACAGCACUGUGCAAACACGAAAGUGGACGUAUACGGUGUGACGCCUGCCCGGUGCCGGAAGGUUAAUUGAUGGGGUUAUCCGUAAGGAGAAGCUCUUGAUCGAAGCCCCGGUAAACGGCGGCCGUAACUAUAACGGUCCUAAGGUAGCGAAAUUCCUUGUCGGGUAAGUUCCGACCUGCACGAAUGGCGUAAUGAUGGCCAGGCUGUCUCCACCCGAGACUCAGUGAAAUUGAACUCGCUGUGAAGAUGCAGUGUACCCGCGGCAAGACGGAAAGACCCCGUGAACCUUUACUAUAGCUUGACACUGAACAUUGAGCCUUGAUGUGUAGGAUAGGUGGGAGGCUUUGAAGCGUGGACGCCAGUCUGCGUGGAGCCAACCUUGAAAUACCACCCUUUAAUGUUUGAUGUUCUAACGUUGGCCCCUGACCGGGGUUGCGGACAGUGUCUGGUGGGUAGUUUGACUGGGGCGGUCUCCUCCCAAAGCGUAACGGAGGAGCACGAAGGUUAGCUAAUCCUGGUCGGACAUCAGGAGGUUAGUGCAAUGGCAUAAGCUAGCUUGACUGCGAGCGUGACGGCGCGAGCAGGUGCGAAAGCAGGUCAUAGUGAUCCGGUGGUUCUGAAUGGAAGGGCCAUCGCUCAACGGAUAAAAGGUACUCCGGGGAUAACAGGCUGAUACCGCCCAAGAGUUCAUAUCGACGGCGGUGUUUGGCACCUCGAUGUCGGCUCAUCACAUCCCGGGCUGAAGUAGGUCCCAAGGGUAUGGCUGUUCGCCAUUUAAAGUGGUACGCGAGCUGGGUUUAGAACGUCGUGAGACAGUUCGGUCCCUAUCUGCCGUGGGCGCUGGAGAAUUGAGGGGCUGCUCCUAGUACGAGAGGACCGGAGUGGACGCAUCACUGGUGUUCGGGUUGUCAUGCCAAUGGCACUGCCCGGUAGCUAAAUGCGGAAGAGAUAAGUGCUGAAAGCAUCUAAGCACGAAACUUGCCCCGAGAUGAGUUCUCCCUGAGACUUUAAGUCUCCUGAAGGAACGUUGAAGACGACGACGUUGAUAGGCCGGGUGUGUAAGCGCAGCGAUGCGUUGAGCUAACCGGUACUAAUGAACCGUGAGGCUUAACCUUACAACGCCGAAG
rnacentral:rRNA from 1 species